GGGUAAUUAAUUCAACGGCAGAAUAUUUGUUUUACACACGAAAGGUUAGAGGUUCAAAUCCUUUAUUACUCA
rfam:Stachybotrys chartarum IBT 40288 unplaced genomic scaffold C40866, whole genome shotgun sequence.